AUUGAACGCUGGCGGCAGGCCUAACACAUGCAAGUCGAACGAGCGGCGGACGGGUGAGUAAUGUCUGGGAAACUGCCCGAAGGAGGGGGAUAACUACGGGAAACGGUAGCUAAUACCGCAUACCAUCGGAUGUGCCCAGAUGGGAUUGGCUAGUAGGUGGGGUAACGGCUCACCUCGGCGACGGUCCCUAGCUGGUCUGAGAGGAUGACCAGCCACGCUGGAACUGAGACACGGUCCAGACUCCUACGAGAGGCAGCAGCGGGGAAUAUUGCACGAUGGGCGCAAGCCUGAUGCAGCCAUGCCGCGUGUAUGAAGAAGGCCUUCGGGUUGUAAAGUACUUUCAGCGAGGAGGCGUUACUCGCAGAAGAAGCACCGGCUAACUCCGUGCCAGCCGCCGCGGUAAUAC
rnacentral:rRNA from 1 species